AUGGAAAGAACGCCCCCACCUGGCUUCCUCCAAUCAGCGGAAAGGUGACGUCACCGCCGCCUUUUAGACGUAGGUGCCGCCUCCGUCUUUGCCGGACGAGUGUCGGAACCAGAGGCGGGUGGAGGCCGAGGCUCAGGGAGCCGCCCCGGUCGGGUCUACCGGGGGACCCGGAGCAGCCAGAAAGAAGCCUCCAAACCAUCAGAACAGCUCAGUCUCAAAUUUCUGGAUAAUGAAGACACUUGCAAGGACCUCUGUGAAAACACCUCUUUAGUCCAACUGGAGCAAUCCCAAUACGAUCGUCAUCAGCAAAUGCCUGAGACAUUGUCCACCAGGUGACCAUCGAGACUGAAAAUGGGGCAGGAUAGGACCACCAAGACUGGUUUCCUGAUACAAACUAUAAGGCAUUAAAAUCACUUUCAGAAAAGAAACAAAGGCAUUGUCAGUGCCAUGAGCCGCUUCCUCCUCAUGACUAAAGGAUGGUUUCCAGGAGCCUCCAACAGCCUCCCAAUCUCCUUUUUCCCUGCUUUCCUUUCUUCUAUCUUCCCUCAUUUCUCUUUUCAUUUUUCCCCUUAACAAGGCAUUGCAUUUUUAAAUAAGAGCUAUUUGAAAUAAUGA